AUUCCAGCUCCAAUAGCGUAUAUUAAAGUUGUUGCAGUUAAAAAGCUCGUAGUUGGAUUUCUGGCAGGAUGACUUUGCCCUCUGUAGAGUGCGCAAUGCUGUCCUACCAUCCUUCUGUUAACCCUGGAGGCCUUUAACAGCUUGUAGGGGGCUCAGAUAUUUUACCUUGAGAAAAUUAGAGUGUUUCAGGCAGGCUAGCGCCGGAAUACAUUAGCAUGGAAUAAUAGAAUAGGACUUAAGCCUCUUCUGUUGGUCUGAGGGGUGUAAGUAAUGAUUAAUAGGGAUAGUUGGGGGCAUUAGUACUUAACUGUCAGAGGUGAAAUUCUCGGAUUUGUUAAAGACUAACUUAUGCGAAAGCAUUUGCCAAGGAUGUUUUCAUUA
rnacentral:rRNA from 1 species